rnacentral:tRNA from 1 species
GGGGCCGUGAGGUAACCUGGUAUCCUGCGGGCUUCGGGAGCCCGUUAUCUGUGUUCGAAUCUUUUUGGAUGGCCU